rnacentral:rRNA from 1 species
UACAGGGGUCCCGAGCGUUGUUCGGAUUCAUUGGGCGUAAAGGGUGCGUAGGCGGUCUGCUAAGUUUGGUGUGAAAACUCAAGGCUUAACCUUGGGCCUGCAUCGGGUACGGGCAGACUAGAGUGUGGUAGGGGAGACUGGAAUUCCUGGUGUAGCGGUGAAAUGCGCAGAUAUCAGGAGGAACACCGGUGGCGAAGGCGGGUCUUUGGGCCAUAACUGACACUGAGGAGCGAAAGCAUGGGGAGCGAACAGG